GUAGAAGGACAUGUUUCCUUCCUCUUCCGCCAUGGCUGUGAGUUUUCAGAGGCCUCCAUAGCCUUGUGAAACUUGUCCUUUGCUUCAAAUAAUGAAUGCUGUGAACAGGCAGUGAAUUAGAUGCUUUUAAGAAGAAACACAUAGUGCACAAGAGCACAAUCAAAGCUGUGAUAGUAACAUGGAACUUCUAGAAAGGAGUGUGAGAGAAGAGCGCUCAGAUUUAAAAGAAGUGCUUAGCAGAUGUGUCUGUAUAUGGCAAGUGAAGAACUUACCAAAGGGGGUCAGGUUCCAGCCCCAGCUGAGAGCGGAGGAGACUGGGUAAACGUGGGGCAGGGAGCUGGAAGAACAUUCAAGAAACAGCAGAUAAUGCGGAAUGAAUAAGAGAGACAGCAGGUGAAAAUGGAUGCCAACUAUGAACUACAUGCAGGUUAAGCUGUAAUAGAAAUUCUGUUGAUGACACAAGAUGGAAGUUCUACCAUUGAAUACUCCUUGAACUUGGAACUCUUCUGAAUAGGCCCAAAGGAUGAAAACUUUGAUUAUAUAAACUACUUGUGGUCAUUAGAGGUCGACUAUUAUGUUCUCUUGUCUUAUAAAACAAAUAUCAUCUAAAAGAUUGUACCUGAUUAUAAACAUAACCUUUCCAAAAUAAAAUCAGAACUUUUUCCUGUGCCA